AUUGAACGCUGGCGGCAUGCCUUACACAUGCAAGUCGAACGGCAGCACGGGAGCAAUCCUGGUGGCGAGUGGCGAACGGGUGAGUAAUAUAUCGGAACGUGCCCAGUCGUGGGGGAUAACGUAGCGAAAGCUACGCUAAUACCGCAUACGAUCUAUGGAUGAAAGCGGGGGAUCGCAAGACCUCGCGCGAUUGGAGCGGCCGAUAUCAGAUUUGGUAGUUGGUGAGGUAAAGGCUCACCAAGCCGACGAUCUGUAGCUGGGCUGAGACGACGCCCAGCCACACUGGGACUGAGACACGGCCCAGACUCCGACGGGAGGCAGCAGUGGGGAAUUUUGGACAAUGGGCGCAAGCCUGAUCCAGCAAUGCCGCGUGCAGGAUGAAGGACUUCGGGUUGUAAACUGCUUUUGUACGGAACGAAACGGCGAGCUCUAAUACAGUUUGCUAAUGACGGUACCGUAAGAAUAAGCACCGGCUAACUACGUGCCAGCCGCCGCGGUAA
rnacentral:rRNA from 1 species